rnacentral:rRNA from 1 species
AUACGGAGGGUGCAAGCGUUGUUCGGAAUCACUGGGCGUAAAGGGCGCGCAGGCGGUUUGGUAAGUCAGAUGUGAAAGCCCACGGCUCAACCGUGGAAGUGCAUUUGAAACUGUCAGACUUGAGUACUAGAGGGGAAAGUGGAAUUCCCGGUGUAGAGGUGAAAUUCGUAGAUAUCGGGAGGAAUACCGGUGGCGAAGGCGACUUUCUGGCUGGAUACUGACGCUGAGGCGCGAAAGCGUGGGGAGCAAACAGGAUUAGAAACCCUAGUAGUCC